rnacentral:tRNA from 1 species
UAAGUUUUAAGCUUAUUAAACUGUGAACCUUCAAAGUUUAAAUAAUAGGUAAAAUCCUAUAAACUUAU